GCCGCAGUGGCUCACGCAGUGGGAGCGCCCGCCUCGUAAGCGGGAGGACGCCGGUGCAAGUCCGGCCUGCGGCC
rnacentral:tRNA from 1 species